rnacentral:lncRNA from 1 species
CGACCACACUGCUCUCCGGCUAGAGGGUGACUCGGCCAGGCUCCUUCGUGGCAGCCCCCAGGGCAGUGAGCUCCAGUGACUGUCUGCCUCCUCCCCAAACCUUCUUGCAAUAGCACUGGAUAAAAAUGAGUUGAAUGAAGCUGAAGAUCAUAAGUCUGGAUUAAAAGAAGCUUCUUGACCUUUGGUUCUUCAGUCUCACCUCUACAAUACUACUGUCAUGCCACACUUCUCCCAUAUCUUCAUGUUCAGCAUAUUCCAGACAUUUUCUAUGUUUUUCCUCAGCCUAGAAGCUUCUUCCUCAUUUACCCUGAUAAAAGUUCUUCAAUGGAAAUAAGUUUUCUAUUGAUGCAGAAAUUAAGUCACAAGAUUUUCAUGCAACUUUUAAAUCAUGAAAAAGGACGCGUUUGCUUCUCCUUCCGCCAUGAUUGUAACUUUCCUGAGGCCUCCCCAGCCAUGCUAAGCUGUGAGUAAAUUAAACCUCUUUCCUUUAUAAAUUACCCAGUCUCGAAUAUGUCUUUAUUAGCAGUGUGAGAAUGGACUAAUACAGCAUUAUGUUUUUACUCUGAUAAAGGUCCUUCAAUAGAAACAGAUAUUCUAUUGACACAGAAAUUAAGUCACAAGAUUUUCCUGCAGCUUUUAAAGCAGUGAAUCAACUUAUUUUAAUUAAAUAUUAUUUUAAAUAUUAGUAUUUAUUAUUGCAUGAGUUAUGAACAAAUUAUUAUUCAAAGUGUUGACUUUAAGCCUUUAAAGAAGAUACAAUAUACCAAAUAAUUCUCAUUUUAGAUAUAAGUUAAUUCUUACAGUUUUCAUAUUAAUAUCAAAGGUAUAUAUUUAGUAAAUUAGAAAAAAAUCAUAACCAUUAACUCAGUAAUUUUCAUUUGUGAUAAAUUUAUAUUAAUAUAAUGAUUUGAUUUUCAAACAAACUUAUUAAUACUACCAGGACAGUUGAUGUCUUAGGCUUGUUUCCAACAGGUCUGAAAUUUUAUAAAUACAAAAGUUGUAUUAAAUUAAAUAAUGCAUUUUGCUGCUCCUCUGCUGAAAUCAAUGUUUUUCCUUUUGAACCAAAAGUCCCCAAAUUAGCUGACUCCCUACUGGCCAC